rnacentral:rRNA from 1 species
UCCGACCUCAGAUCGGACGAGAUUACCCGCUGAAUUUAAGCAUAUCACUAAGCGGAGGAAAAAGAAACUAA